rnacentral:misc_RNA from 1 species
GAUGAAGAACGUAGUGAAAUGUGAUACUUGGUGUGAAUUGCAGAAUCCCGUGAACCAUCGAGUCUUUGAACGCAAGUUGCGCCUCAAGCCAUUAGGUUGAGGGCACGUCUGCCUGGGCGUCACAUAUCGUUGCCUGAUGCCAGUUUCCUCGUGAUGGGUGACUGUGCAGGGCGAAUGAUGGCUUCCCGUGAGCAUUGUUGCCUCAUGGUUGGUUGAAAAUUGAGUCCUUGGUAGGGAGCGCCGUGAUAGAUGGUGGUUGAGUGACGAACGAGACCCAAUCAUGUGAGACCCCUACCGAAUUUGGCCUUCAUGACCCACAUGCGUCUUUGGAACGCUCAUGACGAGACCUCAGGUCAGGCGGGGCUACCCGCUGAGUUUAAGCAUAUCAAUAAGCGGAGGA